AAACGACUCUCGGCAACGGAUAUCUCGGCUCACGUAUCGAUGAAGAACGUAGCAAAAUGCGAUACUUGGUGUGAAUUGCAGAAUCCCGUGAACCAUCGAGUUUUUGAACGCAAGUUGCGCCCGAAGCCAUCCGGUUGAGGGCACGUCUGCCUGGGCGUCACGC
rnacentral:rRNA from 1 species